GACGAGCGCUGGCGGCGUGCCUAAUACAUGCAAGUAGAACGCACAGUUUAUACCGUAGCUUGCUACACCAUAGACUGUGAGUUGCGAACGGGUGAGUAACGCGUAGGUAACCUGCCUGGUAGCGGGGGAUAACUAUUGGAAACGAUAGCUAAUACCGCAUAAUAUUAAUUAUUGCAUGAUAAUUAAUUGAAAGGUGCAAUUGCACCACUACCAGAUGGACCUGCGUUGUAUUAGCUAGUAGGUGAGGUAACGGCUCACCUAGGCGACGAUACAUAGCCGACCUGAGAGGGUGAUCGGCCACACUGGGACUGAGACACGGCCCAGACUCCUACGGGAGGCAGCAGUAGGGAAUCUUCGGCAAUGGACGAAAGUCUGACCGAGCAACGCCGCGUGAGUGAAGAAGGUUUUCGGAUCGUAAAGCUCUGUUGUAAGAGAAGAACGGGUGUGAGAGUGGAAAGUUCACACUGUGACGGUAUCUUACCAGAAAGGGACGGCUAACUACGUG
rnacentral:rRNA from 1 species